GAGUUUGAUCCUGGCUCAGAUUGAACGCUGGCGGCAUGCCUUACACAUGCAAGUCGAACGGCAGCACGGGAGCUUGCUCCUGGUGGCGAGUGGCGAACGGGUGAGUAAUGCAUCGGAACGUAUCCUGGAGUGGGGGAUAACGUAGCGAAAGUUACGCUAAUACCGCAUAUUCUGUGAGCAGGAAGGCGGGGACCUUCGGGCCUCGCGCUCUUGGAGCGGCCGAUGUCGGAU
rnacentral:rRNA from 1 species